rnacentral:sRNA from 1 species
GGGGAAGGAUGAGAAGCUUCGACUAAGGUUCGACUCGAGCGAAGCGAGAGAACGUUGCCGCAGGCAACGGCCCGAAGGGCGAGGCGCUUUAGCGCCGAGUAAUCCUUCCCCCACCACUG